AUGAAUGCAAUGUCUUGGAAUUGCAGAGGAGCAGGAAAAAAAGGAAUGACUACCUGCUUCUCUGAUUUAAUAAGAGAUCAUUCCCUAGACUUUAUAGGUCUGCAAGAAACUAUGAAGAAAAAAUUCUCUCCUAAAUUCUUAAGAGAGGUGGACCCCUUGGAUAGAUACACCUGGAACUGGACCCCUUCUAUUGGCAAGUCAGGUGGCAUCCUGUGUGGUAUCAAGAAAGAAAAUCUUGACAUUAUAUCCUGGGUACUUGGCAGCUUCCUUAUUCAAGCUAAUAUAUAUGAUAUUAAAAAAGUGUGUCUGGGCUCUCGUAGUAGUCUAUGGGGCAGCUCAGGAUGA
rnacentral:rRNA from 1 species